rnacentral:tRNA from 1 species
GCCACCAUCGCUUACUGGUUAGAGCACUGGUCUCGUAAACCAGCGGUGGUGCGUUCGAUUCUCACUGGUGGCU